rnacentral:rRNA from 1 species
GGUGAACGCUAGCGGUGCGCCUAACACAUGCAAGUCGGGCGAGAAAGUUUCUAGCUUGCUAGAAACCAGAAAGCGGCGAACGGGUGAGUAACACGUUGGUAUCUGCCCCCAAGUCAGGGAUAGCCAUUGGAAACGAUGAUUAAUACCGGAUAGUCUCUUCGGAGUAAAAAUUUAUUGCUUGGGGAGGAACCUGCGUUCUAUCAGCUUGUUGGUGAGGUAAUAGCUCACCAAGGCUAUGACGGAUAACUGGUCUGAGAGGAUGAUCAGUCACAAUGGAACUGAGACACGGUCCAU